rnacentral:rRNA from 1 species
CCUACGGGGGGCAGCAGUGAGGAAUAUUGGUCAAUGGACGAGAGUCUGAACCAGCCAAGUAGCGUGAAGGAUGACUGCCCUAUGGGUUGUAAACUUCUUUUAUAUGGGAAUAAAACGUUCCACGUGUGGGAUUUUGUAUGUACCAUAUGAAUAAGGAUCGGCUAACUCCGUGCCAGCAGCCGCGUUAAUACGGAGGAUCCGAGCGUUAUCCGGAUUUAUUGGGUUUAAAGGGAGCGUAGGUGGAUUGUUAAGUCAGUUGUGAAAGUUUGCGGCUCAACCGUAAAAUUGCAGUUGAAACUGGCAGUCUUGAGUACAGUAGAGGUGGGCGGAAUUCGUGGUGUAGCGGUGAAAUGCUUAGAUAUCACGAAGAACUCCGAUUGCGAAGGCAGUUCACUGGACUGCAACUGACACUGAGGCUCGAAAGUGUGGGUAUCAAACAGGAUUAGAUACCCCAGUAGUC